CCCUUUUAAACUUUAAUACACAUAUUAAAUAUCACUAACGUCGUCAUCAGUUAUGCACAUUUCCAAAAUAAUAAUUGUCGUACAAGUAUUACAAUCCAAAAGAAUUUACAAUAUUUUAAAUACAAGUACAACCUAUUAAAGUAAUCACAAAAGAUUGCAUUACCUAACAAAUGUACAAAAUAACUAAAAACAAUGUAAUGUCUAAAGAGAUUUGGACCCGUUUGUUGGCUGGAAAAUAAUUUAAAAAAAAAAAAUGAAUUCAGGGGAAAGUGAAUUUUGGGGAAAAUAAAUUUCGAGAAAAUAUUUUUUGAUGUUUGGUAGUGUAAUGGAAAAUAAGUUGGAAAACACUUUCCAGUGUUUGGUUAUGUCAUGAAAAAUGAGCUGGAAAAUAACUUAUUAAUAUAUUAAAAUAAUGAGAAACAAAUCUUACAAAUUAAAAGUUUAAUGAGAAUGAAAUUGAAAAAAAUUAUAUAAUUUCAUAAAUUAUCUCAAAUAAAAUAAAUAAUAAUCAAAAUAAUAGAGAUCAAAUCUAAAAAAUUAAAAAAUAUAUAUAUGAAGAAAUUAAAAUAAUAAUAAUCAACAUUUCAUAAAUUAUUUCAAAUAAAAUAAGUAAUAAUCAAAAGAAUAAGGACCAAAUUUGAUAGAUAAAAAAUUUCAAUAAAAAAAUAAUAAGGAAAAAGCAAAUAACAAUUAUAAAAAUAAGGACCAAAGUUAAUAUAAAAAUAAAAUUUUAAAAGAUGAAAUUGAAAAAUAAAUAUUCAAAACAAAAUAUAUAUAUAACAAUCAAAAGUUUGAGGAUCAAAUUUGAUAUAAUCAGCAAAUAAUGACAUUUCUAAAUUUUUCACAACUUCCGGAAAGUGUUUUCCCCCCAAAUUUUUUAGGAAAACACUUUCCUGAAAACCAAGCUAAAUUUUCCUUUUACUGAAAAGUAUUUUUCAUUUAUCAACUUUCCUAAUGGCAAACAAACACAAGAAAGUUUAGAAAGUGAUUUCCCGAAAAUCACUUUCUGAAAAACAAACACGGCUAAAGGGAAAACACUUUCCUAAAAACCAAGCCAAAUUUUUCUUUAACUGGAAAGUGUUUUUCGUUGACCGGAAAGUGUUUUCCGUUGAGUAGAAAAUGUUUUCCGUUGAUCAACUUUUCUAAUGACAAACAAACAUAGAAAAGUUUGUAAAAUGGUUUCCCAUAAACUACUUUUCAAGAAACAAACAUGGCCCUAGUAGUAUGAGAGAUUCCUGCAUAAACAAAACAUAAAGAAUACCCACAAUAUUAGAAUGAUUUUAAAGAAACCUAAUAUUUACAUGUAAAAUGUCAUAUACCACAUUUCACUUUAUACUUAGGUUUAAUUUCCCACUAAAUAUUUAUUUCAUAAUAAUUACCCAUAUUCUCUCAAAAUAUCUAAUUCCUCCAAACUCCUCUAUUUGAAACUCAAAUUUUCAUCCAAAAUUAAUGCCCUCAAAUAAAACAAACACUUUAACUUGAGAGUUCUUUCUUCAUAACCCCUUUACUUUAACUCAUUCAAUUCUAACAUAACUAAACUGGUCUUCUCAGCCCCAACUUGUCAAUUUCUCCAUUACACCACGCUAAUUUAAUUCAUGCCUUAGUUUUUUAAAAAACUAAAUCACAGCUUCAUCUUCUUAUUCUCCAAUUUAUUGGGUGGUUACGGUUAAACCACUAACCCUUAGUUUUCCAUAACUACAUACUACUAAGUUAAAAUUUCCUUUCUCUUGAUCUUCCACUUGGUGGACGAAUAAGUUACUUCACUAUCCCUUAGCUUCCGUUUCUACGGACGACAAAGUUUUAUAUUUUCCAUUCCCUUAAUCUUCCACUUCGUAAACAAUUAAGUUUUAAAUUUUUCGUUCCCUUAAUCUUCCACUUCAUGGACGACUAAGUUGCUUCACUAGCCCUUAGCUUCUGUUUAUACGAACGUCUAAGUUUUCUAUUUUCCAUUCCCUUAAUCUUUCACUUCGUGGACAAUUAAGUCGCUUCACUAGCCUUAGCUUCCGUUUUUACGGACUACUAAGUCUUACAUUUUUCAUAAUACCUUUAUCCAUCAUUACCCAUCACAACUCCAUUUCAUUCAUAUUCUCCCAAGAAUCAUUUUUGUCAAAAUCAUAGUCUUAGUUCCAACCUUUCAUUUCCAUAUAAUUCACAACAUCAAAUUUAACAAGAAAAUUAAACAACUAAGGUAAGCAAGUUUAAGGUAGCAACACCUACCUGCAGCUCCUGAUGCUCGAGCUUCUUCUGUCGAUGUCCCGACUCUGAAUGGUACUCCUAAAAUUUAUCAGAAGUCAUUCGUAUUAGUACCAACCUAAAAGUCAGCAAUAUCCUAAGCCCAUUCACCUUUUUAUAUUUUCACCAUGUAUAACAUUAUUAACUUUUAUGCUAAACAAAAUAUUUCUUUAGUAUACUUUCCUAUUAAUAAUCUUAACCUUAACAUACAUUACUCAUGACAUACAUUUCUAAACAAAACCACAUAACCUCAUUUCCUUUAUCAUCUAUGCCAUGUUAACCUUCCCCUUUCUUUCCCUUGUUAUAUUAUUUUUUUAAUUCUACGAAAUAAUCACACCCCACAUUCAUUUAAUUUUCCUUCUCCCAUGGCCGGCCAUCUAGCUUAAUUUUUCUCCUCCAUCAUUUCUUUUUUUACUAUCAUCUAAUUUCACAAUAUCAACAUAAACCACAAAAAAACCAAUUUCAAAUAAUAUUCUACCCACAUUAACACAAACCCUAACUUUUCCAAAAUUUAGGAAUUUCAAAUAAUCAUGUGUAAAACAUAACAAAUCAAGCAAUUAUCACUUUAAAACAACUUACCCAAGUGUAUUUAGCAAGAAUCAUAGCUCACUGCAUUACCCUGGUUUCCUAUUCAUAAUCUUCCUCAUUCAAAGUUUACUUUCUCCCUCUAGAACUUCUCUUUGUCUCCUAAGUUUCCUUGUUUCUUCUUUUCUCUCUUGUUUCUUGUUGAUUUCUAGCUAAAAACACUUUUCCUAACACAAUUUUUGGGUUCCUCCUUACCUUUUUCUCUCUUCCUCUCUCAAGCUCUCUUUUCUCUUCUUUUCCCUUCCUAUAUUUUUGUCCAGCCGUGGUUUAAUGAAGAAGAUAGCUGCUGGAAAUUUUCCAGCUCAUCAAGUAUAUUUACAAAACUUCCAUUAAUGAUUUUCAUGCUAUUUUUCAGUCUAAUUGUCGAUAUUAUUUGCCAG
rnacentral:lncRNA from 1 species